rnacentral:rRNA from 1 species
AUGCUUAGGAGUCUGCCUAUUAGUGGGGGACAACGUUCCGAAAGGAGCGCUAAUACCGCAUACGUCCUACGGGAGAAAGCAGGGGACCUUUGGGCCUUGCGCUAAUAGAUGAGCCUAAGUCGGAUUAGCUAGUUGGUAGGGUAAAGGCCUACCAAGGCGACGAUCUGUAGCGGGUCUGAGAGGAUGAUCCGCCACACUGGGACUGAGACACGGCCCAGACUCCUACGGGAGGCAGCAGUGGGGAAUAUUGGACAAUGGGGGGAACCCUGAUCCAGCCAUGCCGCGUGUGUGAAGAAGGCCUUUUGGUUGUAAAGCACUUUAAGCGAGGAGGAGGCUACCUAGAUUAAUACUUUAGGAUAGUGGACGUUACUCGCAGAAUAAGCACCGGCUAACUCUGUGCCAGCAGCCGCGGUAAUACAGAGGGUGCGAGCGUUAAUCGGAUUUACUGGGCGUAAAGCGUGCGUAGGCGGCCAAUUAAGUCAAAUGUGAAAUCCCCGAGCUUAACUUGGGAAUUGCAUUCGAUACUGGUUGGCUAGAGUAUGGGAGAGGAUGGUAGAAUUCCAGGUGUAGCGGUGAAAUGCGUAGAGAUCUGGAGGAAUACCGAUGGCGAAGGCAGCCAUCUGGCCUAAUACUGACGCUGAGGUACGAAAGCAUGGGGAGCAAACAGGAUUAGAUACCCUGGUAGUCCAUGCCGUAAACGAUGUCUACUAGCCGUUGGGG